GCAUAUCAAUAAGCGGAGGAAAAGAAACCAACAGGGAUUGCCCCAGUAACGGCGAGUGAAGCGGCAACAGCUCAAAUUUGAAAUCUGGCCCCCCGGCCCGAGUUGUAAUUUGCAGAGGAUGCUUUUGGUGAGGCACCUACCGAGUCCCCUGGAAUGGGGCGCCAUAGAGGGUGAGAGCCCCGUAUGGUAGGACGCCGAACCUCUGUAAAGCUCCUUCGACGAGUCGAGUAGUUUGGGAAUGCUGCUCUAAAUGGGAGGUAAAUUUCUUCUAAAGCUAAAUACCGGCCAGAGACCGAUAGCGCACAAGUAGAGUGAUCGAAAGAUGAAAAGCACUUUGAAAAGAGGGUUAAAAAGUACGUGAAAUUGUUGAAAGGGAAGCGCUUGUGACCAGACUUGCGCCGGGCGGAUCAUCCAGCGUUCUCGCUGGUGCACUCCGCCCGGUUCAGGCCAGCAUCGGUUUUCGCCGGGGGACAAAGGCUUCGGGAACGUGGCUCCUUUCGGGGAGUGUUAUAGCCCGUUGCGUAAUACCCCGGCGGGGACCGACGACCGCGCUUCGGCAAGGAUGCUGGCGUAAUGGUCAUCAGCGACCCGUCUUGAAACACGGACCGAGGAGUCAAGCAUUAGUGCGAGUGUUUGGGUGUAAAACCCGCACGCGUAAUGAAAGUGAACGUAGGUGAGAGCUUCGGCGCAUCAUCGACCGAUCCUGAUGUUUUCGGAAGGAUUUGAGUAGGAGCAUUAACGCUUGGACCCGAAAGAUGGUGAACUAUACUUGAAUAGGGUGAAGCCAGAGGAAACUCUGGUGGAGGCUCGCAGCGGUUCUGACGUGCAAAUCGAUCGUCAAAUUUGAGUAUAGGGGCGAAAGACUAAUCGAACCAUCUAGUAGCUGGUUUCAGCCGAA
rnacentral:rRNA from 2 species